UGGGGAAUAUUGGACAAUGGGGGCAACCCUGAUCCAGCCAUGCCGCGUGUGUGAAGAAGGCCUUCGGGUUGUAAAGCACUUUAAGUGGAGAGGAAGGGGUCAACGCUAAUACCGUUGAUCAUUGACGCUACCCACAGAAUAAGCACCCGCUAACUCUGUG
rnacentral:rRNA from 1 species